UACGUAGGGUGCGAGCGUUGUCCGGAAUUAUUGGGCGUAAAGAGCUUGUAGGCGGUUUGUCGCGUCUGCCGUGAAAGCCCAGGGCUUAACCCUGGGUCUGCGGUGGGUACGGGCAGACUAGAGUGUGGUAGGGGAGACUGGAAUUCCUGGUGUAGCGGUGAAAUGCGCAGAUAUCAGGAGGAACACCGGUGGCGAAGGCGGGUCUCUGGGCCGAUACUGACGCUGAGGAGCGAAAGCGUGGGGAGCGAACAGG
rnacentral:rRNA from 1 species